rnacentral:rRNA from 1 species
AAUCAACGCUGGCGGCGUGCCUAACACAUGCAAGUCGAGCGCGAAAGCGGGGCAACCCGCAAGUAGAGCGGCGAACGGGUGAGUAACGCGUGGGUGAUCUACCUCCGAGUGGGGAACAACAUCGGGAAACUGGUGCUAAUACCGCAUGACAUCCUCAGGUCACACUGAGGAUCAAAGCCGGGGACCGUAAGGCCUGGCGCUUGGAGAGGAGCCCGCGUCCGAUUAGCAGUUGGCGGGGUACGGCCCACCAAGGCGACGAUCGGUAGCCGGCCUGAGAGGGGCGGACGGCCACACUGGGACUGCGACACGGCCCAGACUCCUACGGGAGGCAGCA